rnacentral:rRNA from 1 species
UAAUAUCAAAGGAGCAAUCCGGUAUAAGAUGGGCCCGCGGCUGAUUAGCUAGUUGGUGAGGUAAUGGCUCACCAAGGCGACGAUCAGUAGCCGACCUGAGAGGGUGACCGGCCACACUGGAACUGAGACACGGUCCAGACUCCUACGGGAGGCAGCAGUGGGGAAUAUUGCGCAAUGGGGGAAACCCUGACGCAGCAACGCCGCGUGGAGGAAGAAGGUCUUCGGAUUGUAAACUCCUGUCUUCUGGGACGAUAAUGACGGUACCAGAGGAGGAAGCCACGGCUAACUACGUGCCAGCAGCCGCGGUAAUACGUAGGUGGCGAGCGUUGUCCGGAAUUACUGGGCGUAAAGGGCGCGUAGGCGGCUCUUUAAGUCAGAUGUGAAAACCCAGGGCUUAACCUUGGGAGUGCAUUUGAAACUGGUAGACUUGAGUGCAAGAGAGGGAAGUGGAAUUCCUAGUGUAGCGGUGAAAUGCGUAGAUAUUAGGAGGAACACCAGUGGCGAAGGCGACUUCCUGGCUUGUAACUGACACUGAGGCGCGAAAGCGUGGGGAUCAAACAGGAUUAGAUACCCUGGUAGUCCACGCCGUAAACGAUGAGUGCUAGGUGUCGGGGGUAUCGACCCCCUCGGUGCCACAGCUAACGCAAUAAGCACUCCGCCUGGGGAGUACGGUCGCAAGACUGAAACUCAAAGGAAUUGACGGGGGCCCGCACAAGCGGUGGAGUAUGUGGUUUAAUUCGACGCAACGCGAAGAACCUUACCAAGGCUUGACAUCGUCUGAAUUACUCUUAAUCGAGGAAGCCUUUCGGGGCAGAUAGACAGGUGGUGCAUGGUUGUCGUCAGCUCGUGUCGUGAGAUGUUGGGUUAAGUCCCGCAACGAGCGCAACCCUUAUCGUUAGUUGCUACCAUUAAGUUGAGCACUCUAGCGAGACUGCCCGGGUUAACCGGGAGGAAGGUGGGGAUGACGUCAAAUCAUCAUGCCCCUUACGACCAGGGCUACACANNNGCUACAAUGGUGAGUACAAAGAGAUGCAAGACCGCAAGGUGGAGCCAAAGUCAAAAACUCAUCCCAGUUCGGAUUGCAGGCUGAAACUCGCCUGCAUGAAGCCGGAGUUGCUAGUAAUCGCGAAUCAGCAUGUCGCGGUGAAUACGUUCCCGGGCCUUGUACACACCGCCCGUCACACCAUGAGAGUUG